rnacentral:rRNA from 1 species
GAUCCUGGCUCAGGACGAACGCUGGCGGCGUGCUUAACACAUGCAAGUCGAGCGGACUGCCAUAUGAAAGCUUGCUGGAAUAUGACAGUUAGCGGCGGACGGGUGAGUAACGCGUGAGCAAUCUGUCCCAUACAGGGGGAUAAUACCGCGAAAGUGGUUCUAAUACCGCAUAAGACCACAGCGAGGCAUCUCGCGGGGGUCAAAGGAGCAAUCCGGUAUGGGGUGAGCUCGCGUCCGAUUAGAUAGUAGGUGAGGUAACGGCCCACCUAGUCGACGAUCGGUAGCCGACCUAAGAGGGUGAUCGGCCACAUUGGGACUGAGACACGGCCCAGACUCCUACGGGAGGCAGCAGUGGGGAAUAUUGGGCAAUGGGCGAAAGCCUGACCCAGCAACGCCGCGUGGAGGAAGAAGGUCUUCGGAUCGUAAACUUCUGUCCCAGGGGAAGAGUGCGAGACUGUACUCUGGGAGGAAGCCCCGGCUAACUACGUGCC